CAGGGCCAAUCAGAGACCUUCCCUGGAAUUUAUAGACGGAACUGGGAUUCUUCAACUGGAACCUGUGGAAGCCAUGUUUCCUGCCCCCUGGGGGAGUAGGAAGAAAGAGAGGUCAAUAUGUAAGAAGCAGAGGAGGCUGGAGAGGAGGAGCAGGCCAGCCCCUUGGUUCCUGCAGUGCUUCCCUCAACUUUGUGAGUUGAGCUCCCACACUGUCCUUCCUGGCCUUGGGCCAACAAACUUUCCGUUUUUUUUUUUUUUUUUUUUUUUAAUUUAAGGCACUUGGUAUUGCUUUGAUCACUUACAGCCCAAAGAACCAGAUUAAUCUUCCUGAAGGGGACUCUACACCUAUUUCUAUGAUGCUACUGGGACAACAUUUCUGGAGCUCUUCUCUGUGAAUGAUCUCCAGACCACAUAAGGAAAUUGGCCUUUGGACCAGCCCAAGUCCUCAGUUCCUUGGUGAAAAGAGGCAGAAGACAAAUAAAUCAUGCCAUCUAUUCUCUAGUCAAAAUCAACAACCACCAGACUUGGCCCCGAACCACUUGGGACUGUUUUCAAAAUUCAGUUCCACCCCUGAGGAUUUGCUACCAUGGAGGGCUGCAAAUCAACACCCCGAGGCUUGGAAGGCAGGUGAAAGAGGAGCACUCCAAAACAUGCUGUGAGCUGGGCAGCACCGCUGGAGGGAGAGUUCAGCCUCCCGAGAGGACCACUCAGGAUGGGACACACUAAAAAUACCGACAAUUUAUUUGGAUGGGUAGUGUAUAUGGUACAAAAUUCAAGAUGUGCAAAAAGGCAUAAAAUGAAAAGUAAGUCUCCUUCCCACUUUGACACCCAGCCACCCCAAACACUGCUUCAGAGACAACCAGGUUUUGGUUGUUAUCGGUUCCUUUCAGAGAUACUUCAUGUACACACAACCACAUUUUCUUAUGUGGAGCCCCCACUUCUGAAUCAAUCUUUUU
rnacentral:lncRNA from 10 species